AGCAGCCGCGGUAAUUCCAGCUCCAAUAGCGUAUAUUAAAGUUGUUGCAGUUAAAAAGCUCGUAGUUGAAUUUCGGGGUCAGUAGGCUGGUCAUGCCACAGGUAUGUACUGGUCUCACUGAUUCCUCCUUCCUGAUGAACCGUAAUGCCAUUAAUUUGGUGCUGCGGGGAAACUGGACUGUUACUUUGAAAAAAUUAGAGUGUUUAAAGCAGGCUAACGCUUGAAUACAUUAGCAUGGAAUAAUGAAAUAGGACGUUCGAUCCUAUUUUGUUGGUUUCUAGGAUUGACGUAAUGAUUAAUAGGGAUAGUUGGGGGCAUUAGUAUUCAAUUGUCAGAGGUGAAAUUCUUGGAUUUAUUGAAGACUAACUACUGCGAAAGCAAUUUGCCAAGGAUGUUUUCAUUAAUCAAGAACGAAAGUUAGAGGUUCGAAGGCGAUCAGAUACCGCCCUAGUUCUAACCAUAAACGAUGUCGACUGGCGAUCCGCUAUCGUUAAACUGAAUAGACUUAGCGGGCG
rnacentral:rRNA from 1 species